UCUCUCUCUCACAGCAGAGGUCUGCGCUCUCACACUCAUCGGAUCUGAUCGGACUCGAGUGUUUCUCACGGUGGAGAUGAUGCUGUCGCUAUGGUGACUGCGUCCGCUCUGUGAUUGGCUCGUUCUGCUUGCGUCGUCAUGGCGAAGAGUCCAGAGGUGAAGCUGGCUGUGUUCGGCAGAGCAGGAGUGGGAAAGUCCGCUCUGGUGGUUCGAUUCCUGACCAAACGAUUCAUCUGGGAGUACGACCCGACACUCG